CUUCGUAAAAAAUUUAGAAAAUUUGGUAUCGAUAUUAUCUACAGUAGUAGAAAUAAUCAAAUGAAAACAAAGUUGGGGUCUACUAAAGACACUAUUGACAAAUUACAUAGGACUCAGAAAAAGGAAUAACUCACCAUUUCAGAUCCAAAAUAGCCGAACAUAUAUUUCAUGAAGAUCACGCUAUGACUACCGACAACAUUAGUCUAGUUCGAUCAGUAACAUCCCCUUGGAAAUUAGAUGUCGCAGAAAGUUUAGAAAUUUUCAAACAAAACCCAGCUACCCUCCUUAACAGAGAUCAGGGUAAUCAUU